rnacentral:rRNA from 1 species
UACGUAGGGGGCAAGCGUUGUCCGGAAUCAUUGGGCGUAAAGCGAGCGUAGGCGGCCCGAUAAGUCUGCUGUAAAAGUCAACGGCUCAACCGUUGAAAGCCGGUGGAUACUGUCGGGCUAGAGUUCGGAAGAGGCAAGUGGAAUUCCUGGUGUAGCGGUGGAAUGCGCAGAUAUCAGGAGGAACACCUAUAGCGAAAGCAGCUUGCUGGGACGAUACUGACGCUAAGGCUCGAAAGCGUGGGGGAGCGAACAGG